rnacentral:lncRNA from 10 species
GUACACUGGUGUUUUUCCAUUCACCUCUGCCCAGCAGGACAAGAUGAUGAAAGUACAGAGAACUUGUGGGUCCAGGUUUGUGUCAGAAAGGAGGUUAGUGGCUUGCUUAGGGCCAGGCAGAGGGCACAUUGGAAGGAAUUCUCUGUUCCCGGUGACAGCCCUUGGAAUUGCUGUGCACCCAGAGUUGCGGAGUAAUUUAUUGGCUUCUGAUAACUAUAGUAUUGGAUAACUUCCCAACAUUUUAUUAAAAAUUUUAAACAUAUAGGCAUGUUGAAAGAAUUUAUACUCACCACCUAGAUUUUGCCACUAUCACAUAUCUGUGCAUCCUAUUAAUACAUUUUUAAUUAUUAUUUUUUUGAGACAGAGUUUCUUUUACUCAGGCUGGAUUGCAAUGGUGCAAUCUCAGCUCACUGCAACCUCUGCCUCCAAGAUUGAGGCGAUUCUCCCACCUCAGGCUCCUGAAUAGCUGGGACUACAGAGGGGAGCCACCAUGCCCGGUUAAUUUUUGUAUUUUUGGUAAAGAAGGGGUUUCAUCAUGUUGCCCCAGGCUGGCCUUGAACUCCUGGGCUCAAGUGAUCCUCUGGCCUCAGCCUCCCAAAGUGCUAGGAUUACAGGCAUGAGUCACCGUGCCCAGCCAGCCAUUAAUGCAUUUUUAAUAUAUUUUUAGUCAAUUGCAGACAUCGUACAAUUUUCCCUAAACGUUGCAACAUGCCUAUUCAUUACAGUUCAGUAUUUUUCAGGAUUUUUUUUUUUUGUAAAAUUUACAAAGAAAUGUGGAGAUUUAAACCUGUCAUCCUUGACAUUUGGGGCAGAAACUGCUGAAAUGAAGGAGGACUUGCCAUCAAAGAACUGGCUGAAAGGAGUUAGCACACCACUCCUCUGCCCUGAACAGUUCUAAGCAAGAGGAGGAGCCUGUGGCAGGGCGUGAUAUGAAGUCCUCAGAGAUAGAGUGCCAAGAGUAGAGGGAGUAUCCUGGAACUUCAGUGUUUGCAGAUUGCUACUGAGAAAGUGCCAAACCAUUCACGAGGGAUCCACUACCUAGACCCAAACACCUCCCCCUAGGCCCCGUCUCCAACAGCGGGGAUCAUAUUUCAACAUGAGACUUCGAGGAGACAAAUAUCCAAACCAUAUCGCCCACGUUUAGGAAUGUCUCUCCAUGGUAGAUGAUUUGCAAAUAGACGGUGGUAUACCCAUUCCAUGGAAGCAGGGAAAUAUGUUUGCACGUCUUUGGUUAGUCCUCUUCUUUUCUACUGACAGUGGGCUUGUCCAUGUGUCCUGCAUGAUCAAAAUGACAAUAGCAAACUUGAUGGCCACAGAAGAUUGAAAAGUGCUUGGGCAUUGAGCUUGCUCUCUCUUGAAGUGCUUGGAGCCCUGAGACUGCCAUGAGACCACAUAAAUGAUCACUAGCUAGCCUGCUGGAGGAUGAGAGGUCACUUGAGAAACCUUGGCUCACAGCCUGCUUACACCAGACACAUGGAUGAGUCUGUCUUAGACUAUCCAGCUCCAGCUGAGUUGCCAGCUGACUUCAGUCACAUGAGUGAGAACAACAGAAGGACAGCACUGAGCUCUGCCAAAAUUGCUGACCUACAGAAUCUUGAGCUAAUGAAUGAUUGUAGCUUUAUGCCAUUAAGUUCUGAGGCAGUGUGCUAUACAUAGCAAAAGCUAACUGAUACAAAACUAAAGAUACAAUGGCACAAACAUGAAAAGACAUGUUCACCGAAGCAUUGCCUAUAAUAGUUAAAGACUGGAAACGACUCAGAUGUCCACCAACUCAGGAGUGGUUGAACCUACUACAGUGCAUUCACCCCGUGGAAUACUAAGCAGCUCCAACAGGGGUAGGAAAUUUGUAUACUUUCAUAAAAUGAUCUUUAGGAUAUAUUGUUAAGUGAAAAAAACAAGGUGUAGAAUAGUUAAUAGAGUAUGCUACCUCUUAUUUAAUAAAGGGAGAAUAUAAAUAUGUAUUUUGCUUUUAUUUAGAAAAUGAAAGAAUAAGAAACCACUAAAAUGAUUUUUUAGAAGAAAGCAAGGGGACACAGAUGGAAGUUAGAUUUCUCUAAAUUUACUUUGUUUUGUAGCUAGAACUUUAGAACCAUGUCAAUGUUUUACACACGUCACGCUGCUAAAUAAAAUUAUAAAUUGUGUUUAUUCCUUUACAGAAGCACAUUUUCUAGCCCUGUUAUUUGAAAAUCAGUAAUGAGCACCCUUAGAAUGCAGAUUAUAGUCUGCUAAUAAAUUAAGAAGGAAUGACAGCAUUAUAAUAUCACCAUUUUGCUACUUCUAAUGAAAUAAUGAAUCUAUGAAAUGAUCACCAAUGUCCUCUAAAUCAUUUUGGAAAAUUGAUGAAUGCUUUCUAAUAAAUGGAUCUAGUUGACAAUUCAGAACCACCUUGAUCAAUCACAAAACACUAGACAACCAUACAUUAUGCACCUCCUGAUAUGAAGCAAUAAGAAGAACUAACACUAGUAUUCUUUAAAAAAAAAUUGAUCCUGACUGUAUUCGGGUCUCUAUAUCUACCAGUUUAUGGAAAUUAGAGUGCAGAGAACAAGUUAAAUAAUCCCAUAGGAAACAAUGUCUGAAACCCUGUAAGAUCAACAGCCAUGUUUCUUCAACAAAUAAAUUGCAAGGAAAUUAAACGGGUGAUGAUUGUGGAAAGUCCUCUCAAGGGAAACAUAAACUAAAUGCAAUGUGUGAACCUUAUUUGAAUUUUGUUGUGAAAGAAUCCACUGGAUAAAAGUAUUCAAUGGACAUUUGGGAAAAUCUGAAAACAAACUGAAAAUUGAGUGGGAGAGGAAGGUGGUGGGAAAGGGUGAGAAUAUCCUAGGAAAAAACGAUCUGGACAUGUGGAACUUGACCAGAACAAAGCCUUCCUUGACAGGGCAAGAGGAGGCGUUGAGUACAAUGCAGUGACUGUUCCCAGAGUCCAUCCUUAUCCCUGCUUGCUGGCUGGGUCCUGGGGAAGGAGAGAGCUUUGGGGAUAAAGGGAAAGGGCUGACUCAGUAACCUAUGUAACAUAGUAGAGCGCAAGGUUGCUCUGAGAUGCCUGUCGCACAGGUUCAAACACCUGCAACCAAAGGAGACAUUAUUCAUCCACUUGCCCUGCUAGAUUCAGCUAAGGGUUCGGGAGGUUGCCAACUUAUAUGUUUACUGCUGGACCUGUGAGAGCAUCAGGGCUGCUCCUGAGCUUGGAGCAGGCAGGGGUGCGCAUGCAGAGAAGUGGGGGCCCCCUGGAUUGUGAAGGGGUCCUGGAACUCUUGGGUUGGGUGAGUAUUUUCAAUCACACACAGAGCCUUGACUUCAAGCUUCCAGGAAUUAAUAAAGGCAGAGACAAACAUUACACUUCCGAGAUUCUAAUUAAUUUUGAUAUGGAUUUAUGUGUAAAGUUGGAUGAGUCACUGAUUUUAAUAAACAGGAAAGAAAAUCUUAAAGAUUAAUGUAAUAGCUGAGAACACAGGCACCAGAACUUUGAUGCUUGCUUAAUUUUUUUCUCCCAGCCCAUGUCAUUUGGAGAAAAAAUAUCAAAGACAGUUACGAAGGGAGAAAGGAAAGGGGAUUAUGCAAAUUAGAAGUGAACAGGACUAAAUCAUUACUCUUGUGCAAAUGAGCUUCUCCUUCAUGCGCUUUUCAGGAGUGUUUUAGGGCUAUAUUUGCUGAGGAUACAUUCCUGAAGGUAAUGAGAAAUGGAAGCAUGAUGGAAAGAGCCUGAUUAUAAACUAAUUGAUCUUUCUAAGUAUUACUAAAGGUUAAAAGGGAAAAAAAAAAGAAAAAAAUCUGAAGUCCAGUAAGAACUUCACCUUGUUUACAUUAAUAUCCAUCUUUUUGAAAAAGUGGCAAUAAUGAAUUAGUGACAUACACACUUUGAGCUUCCCUUUCCCCACACCCAGCCUAGGCAGUGUCAGAAGUAUAGAGCAGUAUGGCUAUUUUUCCAGCUGACCUUCCUAGUGGUCUAAGCUCCCCACUGUAGAUUAGAAGUAGCAAUUUAGAGAAAGAGAAGAAAAAGAAAAGUCAUAAAAAGUAGAUAUAAUUUUUUAAAGUGAAGAGUGCUCUGGGGUCACACACAGCUCAGUAAUCCUGAGGUCAGUCACUGCAUUGUGACUGAUGUAAUAAUACAUUUAUAUCUUGAUGACCUCAAAUUGUCAUUAAAUGGUUAAAUUAAUUUUGGUAUAUAUCUUUUAAAAUUAGCCUUGUUUCCUCAUUCAGUGGUAAGUAGUAAAAAUUCAGCUUGCACUGUCUUAAACAAAGAAAAUAAAAUAUUGACUCCAGGGUAUAUGAUCAGGCAAAGCUGGAUCCUUCUACGCAGAGAUUGCUAUCAAGAACCUAACUUACUCCAUUAACUUGACUUGUUUUUUGCUUGGUGUUGGCUUUGUUUUUAGGGUCUUUCUGAACAGCUGAACACUUAUAAUCCACCCUCUUAGCAACACCAGCUGAAGUAUCUUUCUUUUCUACUACACAUCCAGAAACAGUUCUUAAGUUGAUGCUCAUUGGUCCAGAUUGGGACGUGUAUCCAUUCCCGAACCCAGCACCAUCACUCUGAUUAACAGAACCUGGGUCAUAUACCUUCUCUUUCCCCUCAAUCAGAUUAGUCUCAAACCCACCCACACCACUGGUCUGACAGUGAGAGAGGGAUGGCUCUAUGAACUCCGUGGGAAAAAAACAAAAGCACAAACAAAAUAAACCCACAUGUGAAGGUUUAACUGGGGCUGGAUGAUCCACUUGCAGAGUGGCUCGCUUACAUAGCUGGCAUGUGGCUCCUUGCCAUAUGGGCCUUUCCAUAAAACAGCUUGAGUAAUGGUCUCAUGCAGGAGCAUGAUUCCCUAUGGCAAGCGUAACAGAAUUUCCACGUGGAAUUGUUCAAAUAUCACCUCCUGUUUUGAGACUCUGAUAGACUACUUCAUUGUACUGAUAGGUAUGACAUGGGAAAAAAUUAGAACUAAUAAUGUAUGUAAUGAAAGGAAUUACUUGUAUGUCAUGAUUUUCUGAAAUCAAAGUCACUGGCAUUAUGUUGGCCAAUUUUUGGAUUUUAUCUCAAAGCCAUAUUUAUGACAAUCCAGUGAAGUGAGUUUUAUUUUCUCCAAUUUGCAGAUCAGAAAACUGAGAAAAUGUCUGCUCAGGUAAUUGUUCCAUGAAGCUUAAAUUUGAAUUUAGGCUGUUGACUCUGAAGCUUUCACUCCUAAAAUUAUAUCAGACUAUACUGUCUCAUCUAUAGCUUUUAUUUACAAAACAGAAAGCUCCAUUUUAUUAGGAGAAUUUUGAAUAUACAAUAACAAGUAGACAGAGUAAUUUUAUGAAUCAAUAUGUACUCAACACCCAGCUGCACUAUCAAUACUUAGCCAUUAAUAUCUCUUCUAUGUUUUUCUCUCCUUAUUUAUUUUGAAGGAAAUCUCAGACAUCAUUUAAUUUU